rnacentral:rRNA from 1 species
UACAGAGGUCUCAAGCGUUGUUCGGAUUCAUUGGGCGUAAAGGGUGCGUAGGUGGCGCCAUAAGUCAGGUGUGAAAUCUCGGGGCUCAACUCCGAAACUGCACUUGAUACUGUGGUGCUCGAGUACUGGAGAGGAGAUUGGAAUUUACGGUGUAGCAGUGAAAUGCGUAGAUAUCGUAAGGAAGACCAGUGGCGAAGGCGAAUCUCUGGACAGUUACUGACACUGAGGCACGAAGGCCAGGGGAGCGAACGGG